AUGGCAGACACAAAGUCUAAAGUAGAUUCUGCAACUGAAAUCUCCGCAAAGGAUCUGAAAGAGAAGAAGCUCGUGGAAGAGAAGGAGAAUGGAAAGGAUGCCGCCACCAAUGGCAAGGAGAACGAGGAGAAUGGUGAACCAGAAGUAGAUGACGAAGAUGAUGAGGAAGUGGAUGAAGAGGACGAGGAUGAAGAUGGGGAAGGAGAUGAGGAAGAUGAUGAGGAAGACGACGAUGAUCUUGGUGGUGGCACAAAACGGGCAGCUGAGGAUGAUGACGAAGAUGAUGAUGAGGAUGACGUAGACCCCAAGAAGCAGAAAACUGACGACGACGACUAAAGCUCUCCUCCGUCCCGCUAAACUGUUCGAAGCCUCCUCUUCAGUUCCACAGUUGGGCUUGAGGACAGAACUCAGAAAAGACAUAAAACAUUCAAAUGAAAACAUGGUCAUCAUCAAGCAAGUUCACCAUCCGUGCUCAACCAACCCGACUGCAAAAUUUUUCUCCAGGGAGAACCAUGACAGAUUCCAACAAGUGUCUCAACAUACUCAACGGCAAACAUAAAACCGAAAUUUGUUUGUAUUUUUAUUUACAUUUUAUAUUUUUGUACAUAUUGUUAUGAGGUCAGCCACUUUAUCAUGAUCUCCGUGACCAAAUCGGUGCUUCUGUAUGAAAUAUAACUUGUUUGACCAUGUCUCAGUUUCAGCAUAACAGAACAUGUACAAAUCAGCAAUGAAUUCAGAGCAUUCCAGGAAAUUUUAUGUAUGAACCUUUUUUUGUUGUACCAUAACUAGUUGCACCAUAACUAGUUUGUUUGUUUGUUUGUAUGAGAGGGGUUGGGCCAAAGAAAAGGAGUUACUUUUCUUGUUUUGUGUUCUUUUUUUUGUCGGCAGUUUUUGUUUAAACUGGUCCUUUUUAAUGUAUGUGUGAAGUUUGUUGUUCAACAAUAAACCUUUUAUUUUGUGAGUUGUACA
rnacentral:lncRNA from 1 species